UUGGCGGACGGGUGAGAAAUGCAUCGGAACGUGCCCAUGUCGUGGGGGAUAACGUAGCGAAAGCUACGCUAAUACCGCAUACGCCCUGAGGGGGAAAGCGGGGGAUUCUUCGGAACCUCGUGCGAUUGGAGCGGCCGAUGUCGGAUUAGCUAGUUGGUGGGGUAAAGGCCCACCAAGGCGACGAUCCGUAGCGGGUCUGAGAGGAUGAUCCGCCACACUGGGACUGAGACACGGCCCAGACUCCUACGGGAGGCAGCAGUGGGGAAUUUUGGACAAUGGGGGCAACCCUGAUCCAGCCAUGCCGCGUGAGUGAAGAAGGCCUUCGGGUUGUAAAGCUCUUUCGGCCGGGAAGAAAUCGUGGUCUCUAACAUAGGCCAUGGAUGACGGUACCGGACUAAGAAGCACCGGCUAACUACGUGCCAGCAGCCGCGGUAAU
rnacentral:rRNA from 1 species